rfam:Myotis davidii contig182270, whole genome shotgun sequence.
GGCAGUUCUUGGGUGACACACCCAGAAUCGGACUCCCUCCUCCCUGGUUCCAGGUGUAUCAUCUGAGAACCGCC